GAAAGCGCGAAUUGUCUCCCGCAGACGGGGGGGCGCGGGGUGGGCGAAAUCGAAUCCACCAGGUGUCCGCGUGCCCAGGUUCGGCGGGCUGGGGACCGCACGCCAACUCGAACCCCCCGCCCACCACGCGCCGAGAUCCGAACCGCGCCCCCGCCCCCGCCCUCGUCAAGCGCGCGACUCCGCAGUCCCCACGGCCCACGGGCGCGCACAUGCGGCCUCCUUCGUACGCAGGUGCAGGCGUGCCGUCCGGCUGGUGGGGUGGUUUCGUCGUCGAGCGCGCAGGCUUCCUCUCAAAGGUGCCCGACGUCUUACAAGCUACCAAACAACGGCGCUGGAAGACGAGGGGUUCAGGGAAGAGAAUAAGGCAUGCUGUUAGACUGGAGGACAUGCGGCGGUCCAAUUUCGGGAGAGUCAGCCAUCAAACUAUUUAAGCAACAUGGUAAGACCGGCGGUGAGGGUGUGGGCUUACAUAGACUUCGUUGUUUUUUUGGUUCGAGUUAAAUCUUUUAAUUCGGCAAAAGAUUUGGUUUUGGCUUACCUACCAUUCAUCUUCCUCUAGAGUUUAGAUCGUGCCGAGACUAGGUUGGAGUUUGUUCGAGACUGAAUAUGGACUUUGGGUUCCAUAUAUUGGAACUAUGUUUCUUUCUAUUUUCUAUCCAUCUGGUCGGGUACUCUUUUACCUUAGAAAAUUAUACAUAUACCUCAUGGAGAAUUAGAAGAGCCCAUCACCAAACAAUGCACAUCUAUUCAAAACCAUUAUGUAUAUUGUUUGAUGAACUUUUGAAUACUAAAUAAUUCAUUACCC